rnacentral:piRNA from 1 species
UGACCAGAACAUAUCCGUGUUCAUGCUGUC